rnacentral:tRNA from 1 species
GCCCGGGUGGUGAAAUUGGUAGACGCAGGGGACUCARAAUCCCCCGCCGCAAGGCGUGCCGGUUCGAUUCCGGCCCCGGGCACCA